ensembl:lncRNA
GUGAUGCUGCCGACGGGUGCAGCGUUCCGGUGGUUCCAGUAGGACUGUGACCUCUGACCUCCACCCAAAACUCUGCCAUCAAGUGCAAUGCCAACUCUCGCUUGGAUCAUCUCGGGCACCAACACUGGCUGACAAACACAAACUACGUGAAAAAAAGAAGAAAAGAAACACAAGACAACUAUGAAAAAAAAAACUUCAUCACAAGAUACAGAACAAUAAAACAACAAUACAAAAAGAAUCAAACGACAGAUUUUUUCUGUGGCUUAGACAUGGAACUGUUCAUUGACAAACAGAAAUGGCGGACUCAGUAUGGACAAUCAACAAAAUUUCUGUGUUUGGUGUUAAUGUUGUUCACGUGUGGAAAGAUACAGUACUUGUGUAGAGAAUGUAAAUUUUACGGCUAUAUUUUAAAAUUAGUGGCUAAUGGCAAGCACUAUUGUAAUUUAGGACCAUUGUUCUUACUUAUAAACUGUAUUUUAUGAUUGUUUCUUUUUUUUAGUUUGAUUUAAAUUUAGAGUUUUAAAAACUGAUCAGUGUUUGUCUUUCAAGGGAGAGUAAAUAUUCCAAAAUCUACAAAUCCAGUUUUCUGAAUGAACAAAUAUGCAUCAUAAAAAACCCCUACUCUGACGACGACUUAAUUGGAAGAUAAAAUUGUCAUUGUUUCUGUAGGGUUGUUACUACUGGAAGCUCCAAACUUUAAAUAUUUCAGUUUGUUUUAUUGUACUGACAGCCUUUUGUUAUAUCAUGUCAGAUUACAUCAUAUCAUGUCGCGUAAUAUCACGUCGAAUCACGUUCCACGUGAUGUUACGUUUUAUUACGGCUCGUCACAUUAUUGUUCUCAGUGUACAGGUCUGAAUUUUUACGGAGCCCUCCACAGCACUUGCUCGGCUCUAUCAAACGCACUGAAAAAGAUUUAAAUUUUUUUGUUUUUGUUUUGUUUUCAUGACAUUGCCGGUAGCUACAUCUUUUAAAAAAAGCAGCAAUGUUUGUAUUGGAUUAGAACUAUGGGCUGGUUUUGUGAAUAAAAACAAAUGCAUGUAUUUGUGUCGAAAAUUUACAGCUCUGACGUCUGUCUAUUUGCAUGUUUUUUAAGAAACAGCAACAAACGUACAAAAAAAUUAUAACAAUAUGGAAAUGUUCGCAGAAUCCUCUAGAUUGUUCCCUUUUCCAUUCAAACAGUAAAAUAAAAAGCAAUGGGACAAAAUAUGUCAUUUUGA